rnacentral:tRNA from 2 species
GGGCGUGUAGCUCAGGUGGCAGAGCACUUGACUUUUAAUCAAGUUGUCCGGGGUUCGAAUCCCCGCACGCUCA